CAAAAAAACGGUGAUUUAGUGGGGGUUUCCACAAACCCUCGCUAAUCCCCUUAUUCCCUCGCUAAAACUCGCAAAAUAUUCUAAACCCUUUUUGUUUUUAAUUUCUGAAAAAUAGAAACCCAGGUCUCGUUCGAAAACCCUUAGCUCUCGUUCCUCUCUUCUAUGCUCCAAUGGCGAAAACUCUUUCACUGAGGUUUCUUCUUCCUUGGGAACCCUAGCUUUUUCCCUCUUCUCGCGUUCCUCUUCACGUUUCUUCUUCUCGAUUGCAAACGUUUCAGGUUCGAUCUCCACUUUGGUUUCAUCUCGUUUCUGUAAACGCUUCAGGUUCAGAUCGGUUCGAUCUUCUGGUUUCUGCAAACGCUUCAGGAUUGGCAACGAAGAGAUUGGGGUUUUCACAAACAGUUCCGAUCUUGAUACUUAGGGUUUGGGUUCUCUGUCUGCUUGCUGCUCUAUCUUCAUCGCCCAGGACUCAAUUCAACGGAAAAACUUGAAGUGGGUUUGACUCAAAGCACUGUUGAUGAGACUCAGAUUUCUCCUUCCGAUACUCUUGGUAUAACGCUAGGGGAAGAGCAUUCAGGGAGAGUGCGGUGUAUGGGGAUGGGAGCAACUCCUAGUAAUACAUUCAGGAACACUAGACUUCGACUUUCAAGUUUGAGUUGUUCAUCUUCUAGCCAGUGGCAAGAGAAGCACAACAAUUUAGAGAAUGCAUUUAAGGCCUACCUUAUAAUGAAGGAAGGAAGGAUACCUGAAGAAAUGGCUCGCUUCUUUGCUCCUGAAUCACAUGUAAUUGAUACUGAAAGGGAAUCUGCGACAGAUUUGGAAGCAAGCGGAUCAUGAAGUGUUUGUUAUUUUAGAUCUUAAGUCGUUGUGCACUUUGUUAGUGUUAUUUUAGAUAUUGUAUGAAUUAAUGAUUUCAUAAGUUGUUUGAUCAAAAAUUUUGAUCUGUUUGAGGUCA